ensembl:lncRNA
AUUUAGCAAGUCCAGCAGCCAUUUAUUUUCUAUCUCAAAUACUAAGAUUGCCUUCAGCUUCUUCAUCCCUAACUGUAUCCUAAACAAAACAGCUUGCUUUAUUGGUCAUCCGCCUAGCACAGUGCCAGACACAUAUUAAGGUACCCACUAAAUGUUACUGUUUUUAUUCCCUAAGACACUUUCAACACUAUUCAAAUGCCUAUUAAAUUUGUCCAUUCAUUUAUGCAACCAACAUUUAUUGCCAGUUAUUUGCCAGGCAUUCAGAAUACAAAAAUGAAUAAUUCAACAGUUUCCAGCCCUCAAAGAGCUCACAGUCUAGUUGGGGGUGGCAGCUAUGGACACAGCUAAUUUAUAAUUUAGAGUAGUAAGGAUUUAGGGAUGCGCUCAGUGCAAAUCUAAAAUAUCUUAGCAGAUAUUUCUGUUACAUUAUGAGUUAAACAAGCUUGUGUGGACUUUCCUGGGAAAAUAACUGCAAUUAUUCAUAGCAUUGUUUCUAAGGGAAAAUGUGUUCUGCAUUCCAAAUGGUCAAUUUAAAAUUGAAUUUUUGGAACACAGCCCGUUUGUCCCUGGGGGCUGUCUAUUUCUCCGUUAUCUAAGAUCUCUAUCUGUCUUAGGACAAUCUAUAUCUCUUUGCAACUCCCACUUGUUCCAUAUGGCCUAUGGUACUACCUGAGGGUUUCAUACUCUCAGAAUCAACCAAGUUACUCUCUAGAGCUCAGCUCUACGUGACUGAGACAGUCCUUUGGGCAAGCAGGUUGAAUAAAGCAGGUAGGACUAUGGAAGCCUCAGUCCUAAAUAUGACUGUUCAACAUUUUACUAUUAGGGAAGGUAGUGGGAAAAGUCCAUGAAGUGAGUGAUGAGAGUUUGGAAUUGCUGCUAUGUGAAAUGAGAGAGGGAGUUGCUUAGGGACAGGAAAAGGAAUUUCAGGAAUAAUUUCAAAAAGGGUACAUCUCUUGGAUAAAAUAAGAUCCCUAAAAAUACCUAAGUAUUCACUCCUGGACAAUAAAGAUUUAAUUUAUAAAUGGUCUUUGCAACUCAAAGACAGACUAGGAACUAGGAAUGAAGAUUUCUAACUGGAAGUUGAGAAAACCAGACUUUGUGAGCAGAACUAUCCUUCUUGUUAUUCCUGAGUUUUGGAAGGCAGCAUGGGGUAGUGAAAUGAGCAUGAACAAAGCUUUAUUCUGGUACUUACUACGUAGAUUUGGAAAAAAAUAUUCAAGCUCUCUGAACCUUAGUUUUCUCAUCUGUAAAAUGGGGAUGAUAAUAUGUUCCUUGAAGGAUUACCAUGGGGAGUCAUAUCUUCAUCAAAUGUGUUUCUAACACAGGCACUAUGGAUACACAAGUAAAAAUGAUAGUCUCAAGGAGUUUCAAUCUACUGGCUAAGGCAGAAAUGAAUAUACAGUUAUGACACAAUGAGACAAGUACUUCAAUAUAAAAGCAUGAGAAGGGACACCUAACCAGAAAAUAUGAAGGAAGUGUUAUAUGAAAUGUGACCUGAGAAAUAAGUAAGAGAAAUUGGGGAAGGGCAGAAAGAGUCUAUAGACAGAAGGAAGAGCAUAUAUCUCUUUUUUUUUUUUUUUUUUUUGAGGAAGAUCAGUCCUGAGCUAACUGCUGCCAAUCCUCCUCUUUUUGCUGAGGAAGGCUGGCCCUCAGCUAACAUCCAUGCCCAUCUUCCUCUACUUUCUAUGUGGGACGCUACCACAGCAUGGCUUGCCAAGCAGUGCUGGUGCCAUGUCUGCACCCAGGAUCUGAACCAGCGAACCCCAGGCUGCCAAAGCAGAAAGUGCGCAUUUAACUGCUGUGCCACCAGGCUGGCCCCAGGAAGAGCAUAUAGAAAGGCCUAGAGGAAGAAGCUUGUGUAUUUGGGAAACUUCAUGUAGUUGAGCAGGGCUAAAGCAAAUGUAGUACAAGGGGAAAAGUGGUGAGAAAUAAACAGAGACCAGAUUAUGAAGAACCUUAUGGACAUUAUAAGGGUCAUCCUGAGGAUAAUGGGGCAUCAUGGAAAAUAGAUUUGGGGGGAAUGCAAGAUUAGAAGCUGAGAGACCAAUUAAAAAGCUACUGUAGUAUUUCAUCAAAAGAUGAUCUUGCCCAGGCAAAUUAUGGUCCAAAGGCCAAAUCUGGCAUCUUGUGUAUUUGUGUAUAGCACACGAGAUAAGAAUGUUUUUUACAUUUUUAAAUAGUUUUAAAAAAUAACAAUAUUUUUAACACAUGAAAAUCAUAUGAAAUUCAAAUUUAAGUGUCCAUAAAUAAAGUUUUAUUAGAACACAGCUAUGCUCAAUCUAGAGUUUCUUUUGCACAACUACAGCAGAUUUGGGUGGUUGCAAGUUACAAAACCUAAAUAUUUACUAUCUGGCUUUUUACAUAAAAACCUGCUGACCCUUGAUCUUGGGCAUCAAGCUAAGAUGGUGGCAGUGAGAGAUGAGAGAUAUUGUGGAGACUGAAUCAAUAAGACUUGGUGAAUGGUGGGAUGUGAGAAUGAGGGACAAAGAUGAUAUCCAAGUUCUCUAACUCUGGCAAUAAGUACAAACACUUGCGUGGCCUGACCACGUGCCAGGCACUGAUCUAAAUCCUUUAAAUAUAUUAUCUCAUUAAUCUUCUCAGCAACCCUAUGAGGUAAGUACUAUUAUUAUCAUCCCUAUUUCACAUAUGAGGAAACCGAAGCGUUGAGAUCUAGUCAUUUGUUCAAGAUGACACAGCUAGUGUGAGAUGAGAAUUGAAUCCAUGCUGUCUGGUUCCAGAAUCUCUGCUCUUAACACUAUUCUAGAAAUUCACAGAGACAGGGAACUCAGCAGGAAAAAUAGGUUUGAAGGGAAAUCAUGAAAGCAGGUUUUGAACAUGUACAGUUUGAAGAGGUGUGGGACAUCCAAAUGAAACAGCCAGUAGGCACUUGGAUAAAUGGGUCUGGUUCUCUGCGUAUAGGGGGAAGGGAUAUAGACUGUAGGUAUAGACUUGGGAGUCAGCAGCACACAGAUGGCAAUAGAAAUCAUGGGAGAGAGAGAGAUUACCCAGAGGGAGUAAGAAGAGAAGAAGGCUAAGAAUUAAACCCUGAGGACCACAAAUAAUUAAAAAAAGAGCAGGGAAGAGGAUCCCACAAAAUAAACUGAGAAGGAGUAGUCGCAGAAGUAGCCAGCAGUUGCAAAGAUUUUCCAUUUUUAGUAAGGUAAUGUGUAUAAUGUAUCUAGCAAAAUAACCAGCAUAUAAUAGGCAUCACAAAUGGUAGCUUCUUUUACUAUGGAAGUCUUAUUUGAAAGGUCUUGUCCUUUCUUAGCUGUGGAGAGGGGCUGUUCCAAACCUUUUUCACAUCCCCACAUCUCUAAACCCCCAGCUCACCUUGCCUUCCAAUUCUUUGCAGAGGACCUUACCGCUACUUUAAGGAGAAAAUAAAAAUCUCCUUCUUCUCUACGUCAAAAUAUUCCAUAAUUCUCCAUCUCUCAUUCUCUCCUUCUGUUUCUGGCUUCCUCCAGAGCUUUGCUCCAUGAUUUUCCCGUCUUACUUCUUCAGCCUGCCACCCCUUGUUGCUAUAUUCCCCAGUUCUGCCUAACUAUGCCAUGUGCUUCAAAAACCAUCUUUCUGACCACAUCUUCUCUCUCUUCCUUUAAUCUGUCAAACUUUCAGAAGAACUCAACCUUAUUCCAAUUUUUUCAUUAACCAGUAAUUUCUUAAUCUUUUGAAAUCAGAUUUAUGUCUCCACCACUCUGCUGAAACUAUGUUCUUCAAAACCCCAAAGGGUCCCUACUGUUUGACCCUAUUUUCAACAAUGCUAUAUUAAAUUGUCCUUUCUCAUCUCUGUGUUACAUCUGGGGUAGAUUCCAUAACUUUCCAGUUAAUAAAGUCCAGUCUAGUUUAAAACUUUGAAUCAGGAUUGUGUUUGGCUGAAAUCACAGAAAACCUAAAAUAACAAUGCUUAAACAAAAUCGAAAUUUACUACUUUCAUGUUAAAACAAGUCCAGAGGUAGGCCAUGCACAGUUGGUAUGGCAGAUCCACUGUCAUCAUGGUCCCAGGCUGUGUCUUUGUGCUCUACCACUCAAAUGUAUCUACUUUCAAGGUUAUCUUAUAGUCCAAGAGGCUACUGAAGCUUCAGCAUUUCAGACAACAGGAAAGAGAAAGAGAGAACAAAGGGCCCAUCUCCCAGCUGAGUCAGUGCCUUUUAAGCAGCCUCCAAUUUUAAGCAGCCCACAUAACAUUUCUCUUACAUUUCUUUGGCCAUAACUUGGUCACUUUGCCAUGCCGCGCUGGAAGGGAGUCUGGAAAUAUAGUCCUUUAGUAGGUGCAUGGACAUGCCAAGUAAAAUGGAAGUUCUAUUAUUAAGGAAAAAGGAGAGAAUAGACUUUGGAUAGUAGCUAGCAGUUUCUGCUGGAAACUACAAUCUCAAAAUGUUUUAAAAUCUUGUCUCAUCCUCUCCAUUCACUCUUGAAGAUCUAGCUCCUCUGAUGUGUUGGUGCAAAUAGGAGAGGAAAAGGGAGAGGUGCAGUAGUGCUCUUAGACCCAAGACUAGAAGGGCAACUCUGGCAAUGCCUCCCCUCCUGUCAAGUAGAUGAGUCCACAGAGCCAAGGAGAUUCACUCAAGAGACUAAGAAGUGGCCAAGGAACAGCAGUUGAUGAUACAGAUUGGAUGUUUGAGUUGAGGCCGAGCAUGUUGGGAUCCUUGAAGAACGAGAAAGUGUCAGUGUAGGAAAAGAUGGGAAGUGGGCCAGGAGCCAUGGUUGGAAGACCAAUUCUUCCAGUUUUGCUACAUUUUGUUGUGAAACUCCAAGGAUUUCAGAAAUUCUAAAUUCAAACCUGGCCUUCCAUGUUGUUUUGAAAAUAUAUUUGUCAAAGUAGGAGGAUGAAACAUAUUUUAUUUAAAAGUUUGUCCGUUUGAUUUACAACUUGUAAAUAUUUAGACAUAUGGUAUGUGGGCUGCCAUUUGUAUUCUUGCCAUGGGCCCUGCAAAUGAUCAGGGUGGACGUGGACAACUGUCUGCCCAACUGGGAAGGACUGCAGUUCUCACUCUGAUAGUUGCCAUUGCUUCUCUGCCUAACAUUGAUUGACAACUGAAGUUCUGAGUGGCAGGCAUCCAACUGAAGGGUCUCCCUUGAGAUAUGUGUUUGCAUUUUUCUAGGACUGCUUCUGGGUUUCCACUAACAUAUGCCCUCAUAUAGGUAUCUCUGGCUUGGCUACUUCCAAGGGCUCUUCAGGUCACACUCCUGGCACUCUAUCCUCUUACUGCUAGGACCUUCUUGCCUGGUGAUGGCUUCCUUUAGAGGGGAACUGCCAAAAUGGCUCAAUCCCAGCUAUUUUCCACGGGGCCUAUUUAACAGGAAAUACUCAUCCUUGCAAUGAAAAAUGGUGGGAGUUUAGAAUAUUUCAUAGCCCACCCCAAACUCCCAUUUGACAUCUCUCUCCAAUUCCUUUAUAUUUGCUCAGAUCAAGUCCCCUGCCUAAGAAUACAUUCAACCAAGAAGUCAGGCUCCUCUUCCCACCCACUCCCACCCCAACCUUACUUGGCAAUGAGAAUAGAGGAAAGGCACAGCUUUCCUGGGAGAACAAAAAGCCUCUUCCCGUAAACACACAACAAGGCUGGAUUCUGACUCUCUAUUUCUUCCCUCUUUUUCUAUGAACUGGGAAGAGAGAGAGGAUUGGGGUGGUGGCUGGUGGUGGCAGAGCUGGUUUGUUGCCUCUUAGUCCUGAGGAAGAUGGCUGCAACAAUUGAGGUCCUCAACUUUAUCGUCCUCAGCUGUGGGCCCUAAGUCCCAAUUCUGGAAAAAAGGAAAGCAAAUUACCUACUUUCAAGUCACAAGGAACUGCAUAAAAGAGACUGAGAAUGAGUGGCCAACGAUAUAGGAGGAAAACAAGAAGAAUGUUAUGUCAAAGAAGCCAAGAGAAUUUUUCACAAAGGAAGAAAUAAAAAGAGAGAAUAAUCGCCCUGAUCUUAUUUUACCUCCUCUAUGAAGAUUGCUGUGGUGGCCAUGAGAAUGCACCUCUCAGAUCUCUGACUGCAAUGAGCAUAAUUGACUAAGGGCCCCAGCUACUGCCCUCUGAAAUUCAUCACUGUGUUUGCACCAAGGCUCUGCUUCCUACAGACUGCUCCCAGCCAAUGACUGAGCAUGGCAGAGAUACUAAGACAGGCCCAUUCUGGGAGAUGGGCCUCUUACAGGUGACUUUGGGAAAUCUCAAAUAGCCUUGUCAAACUUUCCUUAGAACUGAACUACAGUGUAAGAUGCUUCUAUCCAAUCUUCCUUCCUUCCUUCCUUUAUUCUUUCACUCAGGGUUAGACUUGCAUUGUAGUCUCAUGGCUCUCCCAGCCUCCCUUAUUUGCCUCCCCAUUUUCUCUCAUAGGCAUUUCCUCUCAAAAAUUUCUCACAUAGUUAAUUCUGUCUUGCAUCCACUUCUCAAGAACCUAACCUAACAGAAGUGGUAUGAGGAGUUGUCCAAGAAAACAAAUGGUUAGACAGGAAUUUGAGCUUUGAUUUUUUUACUGAAAUAUAUCGACAUAUAACCUUAUGUAAAUUUAAAGUGUACAGCAUGCUGAUUUGAUACAUUUUUAUAUUGUGAUAUGAUUGCCAUUGUAGCGAUAAUUAG